AGAGUUUGAUCCUGGCUCAGAACGAACGCUGGCGGCGCGUUUUAAGCAUGCAAGUCGAACGGUAGCAAGGUGCUUGCACCUUGUGAGAGUGGCGAACGGGUGAGUAACACGUAGGUGAUCUACCUUAUAGUUGGGGAUAGCUCAUGGAAACAUGGGGUAAUACCGAAUGAGUUCUUAAGAUUAUGAUUUUAAGAGGAAAGGGGCGUUUGCCCCGCUAUAAGAUGAGCCUGCGGCUGAUUAGCUAGUUGGUAGGGUAAAGGCCUACCAAGGCGACGAUCAGUAGCCGGCCUGAGAGGGUGACCGGCCACAUUGGGACUGAGACACGGCCCAGACUCCUACGGGAGGCAGCAGCUAAGAAUCUUCCGCAAUGGACGAAAGUCUGACGGAGCGACGCCGCGUGGACGAAGAAGGCCGAGAGGUUGUCAAGUCCUUUUAUAAGAGAAGAAUAACCGGGGUAGGAAAUGACCCUGGGAUGACGGUAUCUUGUGAAUAAGCACCGGCCAAUUACGUGCCAGCAGCCGCGGUAACACGUAAGGUGCGAGCGUUGUUCGGAAUUAUUGGGCGUAAAGGGCUUGUAGGCGGCCUUGUAAGUCUGGUGUUAAAUACUACAGCUUAACUGUGGGAAUGCACUGGAAACUGCGAGGCUGGAAUCGGUGAGAGGAAACUGGAAUUCCUAGUGUAGGGGUGAAAUCUGCUGAUAUUAGGAAGAACACCUGAGGCGAAGGCGAGUUUCUGGCACACGAUUGACGCUGAGGAGCGAAAGCGUAGGGAGCGAACAGGAUUAGAUACCCUGGUAGUCUACGCCGUAAACGAUGUACACUUGGUGGUUGGGGGUUGCCCUGGCUACCGGAGCUAACGCGUUAAGUGUACCGCCUGGGGAGUAUGCCGGCAACGGUGAAACUCAAAGGAAUUGACGGGGGCCCGCACAAGCGGUGGAGCAUGUGGUUUAAUUCGACGAUACGCGAGGAACCUUACCAGGGCUUGACAUAUACAUGACGGGUGUAGAGAUACAUCUUCCAGCUUGCUGGCAUGUAUACAGGUGCUGCAUGGUUGUCGUCAGCUCGUGCCGUGAGGUGUUGGGUUAAGUCCCGCAACGAGCGCAACCCCUGUUGUCUGUUACCAGCAUGUAAUGAUGGGGACUCAGGCAAGACUGCCGGUGACAAACCGGAGGAAGGUGGGGAUGACGUCAAAUCAUCAUGGCCCUUAUGUCCUGGGCUACACACGUGCUACAAUGGUUGGUACAGAGCGCCGCGAAGCAGUGAUGUGGAGCGAACCGCAGAAAGCCAGCCUCAGUUCGGAUUGGAGUCUGAAACUCGACUCCAUGAAGUUGGAAUCGCUAGUAAUCGCGCAUCAGAAUGGCGCGGUGAAUACGUUCCCGGGCCUUGUACACACCGCCCGUCACACCACCCGAGUUGGGUGUACCCGAAGUCGUUUGUCUAACCUGCAAAGGAGGACGGCGCCGAAGGUAUGUCUAGUAAGGGGGGUGAAGUCGUAACAAGGUA
rnacentral:rRNA from 1 species